GAGCCAGCUUAGCCCCAGCGGCUCCAUCGAUCAAUGCGUAGCUUGGAUCCUGCAAUCGCCCACAGGCAGCGGUUUGAAACCUGCGGGCACUGCUUGGCUUUUAG
rnacentral:vault_RNA from 1 species